rnacentral:rRNA from 1 species
AUUGAACGCUGGCGGCAUGCCUUACACAUGCAAGUCGAACGGCAGCACGGGUGCUAGCACCUGGUGGCGAGUGGCGAACGGGUGAGUAAUACACCGGAACGUACCUUAUCGUGGGGGAUAACGCAGCGAAAGCUGUGCUAAUACAGCAUCCGCCAUGAGGGGGAAAGCGGGGGAUCGCAAGACCUCGCGCGAUUAGAGCGGCCGAUGCCUGAUUAGCUUGUCGGGGGGGUAAAAGCCCACCAAGGCGACGAUCAGUAGCUGGUCUGAGAGGACGAUCAGCCACACUGGGACUGAGACACGGCCCAGACUCCUACGGGAGGCAGCAGUGGGGAAUUUUGGACAAUGGGGGCAACCCUGAUCCAGCAAUGCCGCGUGAGUGAAGAAGGCCUUCGGGUUGUAAAGCUCUUUUGUCAGGGAAGAAACACCGGCUCUAACACAGUCCGGGAAUGACGGUACCUGAAGAAUAAGCGCCGGCUAACUACGUGCCAGCCGCCGCCGUAA